UACGAGGGGGCGAGCGUUGUUCGGAAUUAUUGGGCGUAAAGGGUGCGUAGGCGGUUUGGUAAGUCUUAUGUGAAAUCUAUGGGCUCAACUCAUAGACUGCAUGAGAAACUGCCGGGCUUGAGUAUGGGAGAGGUGAGUGGAAUUCCUGGUGUGGCGGUGAAAUGCGUAGAUAUCAGGAGGAACACCUGUGGCGAAAGCGGCUCACUGGACCAUAACUGACGCUGAUGCACGAAAGCUAGGGGAGCAAACAGG
rnacentral:rRNA from 1 species